rnacentral:rRNA from 1 species
UAGGGAAUCUUCCACAAUGGACGCAAGUCUGAUGGAGCAACGCCGCGUGAGUGAAGAAGGUUUUCGGACCGUAAAGCUCUGUUGUUAGGUGAAGAAGGAUAGAGGUAGUAACUGGCCCUUUAUUUGACGGUAAUCAACCAGAAAGUCACGGCUAACUACGUGCCAGCAGCCGCGGUAAUACGUAGGUGGCAAGCGUUGUCCGGAUUUAUUGGGCGUAAAGCGAGCGCAGGCGGAAGAAUAAGUCUGAUGUGAAAGCCCUCGGCUUAACCGAGGAAUUGCAUCGGAAACUGUUUUCUUGAGUGCAGAAGAGGAGAGUAGAACUCCAUGUGUAGCGGUGGAAUGCGUAGAUAUAUGGAAGAAUACCAGUGGCGAAGGCGGCUCUCUGGUCUGCAACUGACGCUGAGGCUCGAAAGCAUGGGUAGCGAACAGGAUUAGAUACCCUGGUA